rnacentral:tRNA from 1 species
CCCCGUAUCGGCUAAUGGUAGGCCGCUCUUUACAGAGGUAUGUAGGUUCGACUCCUGCUGCGGGGC